rnacentral:piRNA from 1 species
UAAACCAGAAGAAGGUGCUAAGACGGC